ACCCGUUGAUCCUGCGGGAGUUCGCUACUAUUAGGGUUCGACUAAGCCAUGCAAGUCAGAGGGGCUCUUCGGAGUCACAGGCAAAAUGCUCAGUAACACGUCGUUAAUCUAACCUUAGAUCUGGAAUAACCUUGGAAAACUGAGGCUAAAACCGGAUAUGGGAAAAUAAUUGGAAAAUGUUUUCCUUUAAAAGCAAUGUCUAAGGAUGAGACGGCGGCGGAUUAGGUUGUUGGCGGGGUAAUGGCCCACCAAGCCGACGAUCCGUAGGGGCCGUGAGAGCGGUAGCCCCGAGAAGGACACUGAGAUACUGGUCCUAGCCCUACGGGGUGCAGCAGGCGCGAAACCUUUACAAUGCACGAAAGUGUGAUAAGGGAACCCUAAGUGCUCAUGUUUUACAUGGGCUUUUGCCAAGAAUAAAUAUCUUGGCGAAUAAGUGGUGGGAAAGACUGGUGCCAGCAGCCGCGGUAACACCAGCGCCACAAGUAGGGACCACUACUAUUGGGCCUAAAGCGUCCGUAGCCGGCUGAAUAAAUUUCUUGUGAAAUUGUUGGGCUUAACCUAACAACGUGCAGGAAAAACUGUUCAGCUUGGAACCGGGAGAAGUCAGGAGUAUGCUGGGGGGAGCGGUAAAAUGUUAUAAUCCCCGGUAGACUACCAGUGGCGAAGGCGCCUGACUAGAACGGAUUCGACGGUGAGGGACGAAAGCCAGGGGAGCGAAGCGGAUUAGAUACCCGUGUAGUCCUGGCCGUAAACGCUGCGAGCUAGGUGUUGCAUAUUCUACAUGAAUAUGCAGUAUCGAAGCGAAGGUGAUAAGCUCGCCGCCUGGGAAGUAUGGUCGCAAGGCUGAAACUUAAAGGAAUUGGCGGGGGAGCACUACAAGGGGUGCGGCGUGCGGUUUAAUCUAAUUCAACGCAGAGAAUCUCACCAGAAGCGACGGCAGGAUGAAAGUCAGGCUAAAGGUCUUACUUGACGAGCCGAGAGGUAGUGCAUGGCCGCCGUCAGCUCGUGCUGUAAAGUGUCCUGUUAAGUCAGGCAACGAGCGAGACCUGCAUCUACAAUUGCUAACGGAUUCUUUAGAAUGACUGAGCACAUUGUGGAGACUGCCCUGGAAACAGGGAGGAAGGUGCAGGCUACGGUAGGUCUGUAUGCUCCGAAUCUUCUGGGCUACACGCGCGCAACAAUGGUAAGGACAAUGGGAUGCGACUCCGAAAGGAGGAGCUAAUCCUCGAAACCUUAUCCAAGUCUAGAUUGAGGAUUGUAACUCAUCCUCAUGACAAUGGAAUCCCUAGUAAUCAGAGUUUAUCAUACUCCGGUGAACAUGUCCCUGCUCCUUGCACACACCGCCCGUCAAGCCACCCGAGUAGGGUUUAGGUGAGAGGUAAAUUUUAUUUGCAUCGAACCUAAGCUCAGCGAGGAGGGCUAAGUCGUCACAAGGUA
rnacentral:rRNA from 1 species